UCUGUAUGUCUUGCUAAUCUGAUACAAACUCCACCAGCACCAUGUUUGUGAUGUUUGUGACUGCCCCAGGUACCCUGCUUCUUUCCACUUCGGAGCCAUUGUUUGCCCUACCUGCCUCCCCCAUGGAACCCUCAGGACGCUUGGACCAAAGAAGGGAAUUCUACAUGGGCUCUUCACAGAUCCCCAGGAGCUGCCAUAGCCCUGCCACCUGUGUUCAGGCAAAGGAAGUUUGAAGAUGUAGUCUCCAGAUUCUUACAAUAUUGAAAUGCCACAGUGCAAGGGUGGACACACAGAUGUUUAAACACCCCUUUAAAAAGUCAGCUUGGACUUUCAAAAAUAAAUUAAUGAAAGCUCACA
rnacentral:lncRNA from 1 species